rnacentral:rRNA from 1 species
UUACCGCGAAGAACCUUACCAGGUCUUGACAUCCCUCUGAAUCCUCUAGAGAUAGAGGCGGCCCUUCGGGGACAGAGGAGACAGGUGGUGCAUGGUUGUCGUCAGCUCGUGUCGUGAGAUGUUGGGUUAAGUCCCGCAACGAGCGCAACCCUUGAUUUUAGUUGCCAGCACUUUGGGUGGGCACUCUAGAAUGACUGCCGGUGACAAACCGGAGGAAGGCGGGGAUGACGUCAAAUCAUCAUGCCCCUUAUGACCUGGGCUACACACGUACUACAAUGGCCGUUACAACGGGAAGCGAAAGAGCGAUCUGGAGCGAAUCCUAAAAAGGCGUCUCAGUUCGGAUUGCAGGCUGCAACUCGCCUGCAUGAAGUCGGAAUUGCUAGUAAUCGCGGAUCAGCUGCCUCACCUCAAACAAAAU